rnacentral:ncRNA from 1 species
GGCCGCCUUGAAUUACAAUUCCGAUCGAGCGGCGCGAGCUGAAUCCUUUGCAGACGACUUAAAUACGCGACGGGGUAUUGUAAGGGUAGAGUGGCCUUGCUGCCACGAUCCUCUGAGAUUCAGCCUUUGUCGCUCCGAUUCGU